rnacentral:rRNA from 1 species
GAUGAACGCUGGCGGCGUGCCUAAUACAUGCAAGUCGAGCGAACAGAUGAGGAGCUUGCUCCUCUGACGUUAGCGGCGGACGGGUGAGUAACACGUGGAUAACCUACCUAUAAGACUGGGAUAACUUCGGGAAACCGGAGCUAAUGCCGGAUAAUAUAUUGAACCGCAUGGUUCAAUAGUGGAAGACGGUUUUGCUGUCACUUAUAGAUGGAUCCGCGCCGCAUUAGCUAGUUGGUAAGGUAACGGCUUACCAAGGCAACGAUGCGUAGCCGACCUGAGAGGGUGAUCGGCCACACUGGAACUGAGACACGGUCCAGACUCCUACGGGAGGCAGCAGUAGGGAAUCUUCCGCAAUGGGCGAAAGCCUGACGGAGCAACGCCGCGUGAGUGAUGAAGGUCUUCGGAUCGUAAAACUCUGUUAUUAGGGAAGAACAAAUGUGUAAGUAACUAUGCACGUCUUGACGGUACCUAAUCAGAAAGCCACGGCUAACUACGUG